ensembl:lincRNA Gm42705 predicted gene 42705
UUCCUUAAACUAAGUUAUUACAGCUAAUACUGUGGUUAAUGGUUUCUGGAAAGAUGCCGUCUAUCAGCACUGGAGUGUACACAUUUUGGCCCAAACGUUGAGAAAUCGCAGGUUCCCUACCUGCUCAUUUGAGUUUGGGUGUGAAAAAAUACAUCAAAUCCUAACACACAAAAGUGGCUCUCUUCAGCAACACUUCAUCACGUGGUUUCAUCAGAUGGACUUAAUUUUCUGCAUGACAUUAUCUUUUCAAGCUGACAGGGUAAAAUUUUAUUUUUUUAACCCUCCACAAAUCAAAAUUCCUGGAGGAAAAAAAUUGGGAACUCAAGGCUCUUUGUGGUUGUCCUUCUCUUUUCCGAACAUCAAGCUGCAUAGUAAAGAACGGCUGUGAUUUGAAUGAAAAUGGCGCCCUCAAGUACGAACUUAGUCCUCACUGGAUGGGACUACUUGGGAAGGAUUAAUAGAGGCAACUGAGGAGUUGCACGUAGCUGCCGUAUGUGAGCUGCUGAUAGGAUUCAGUGUGGUUCUGAAGGCCUGAACUAGAGGAGCUCGUGAUGUGGAUCACAGUCUGAGAGCAGAAAAAGGUUCCAGGAGAAGAGGAUUACUUUGGAUUCCAGCUUCAGAGAGCUACAGUGCAUCAUGUAAGCAGGAAAAAUCACAUCACAACAGGCAGAAAAGGCCUGCAGACAAGAGCCAGAAGCUGGUUAAUCACAUAUCAUCCACACACAGGAAGUAGAGAAAGACUGAGCAUGAAGUGGAACCAGGCUUCAAAAUAUCAGAACCCGACCCCAAUGAUAUGCUUUCUUCAGCAAAGCGUCACAUCCUAAAUUGUGUAACUUUUCCAAACACUACAACCCACCACCGGGGACUAAGUGUUUAAAGACACGACGUCAGAAGGCUUUCCUAGACAUCUGUAUAUCUCCAUAAAUGCUCAAAGAUACGCAUGUACAGUAGAAUUCAGUGAUGAAAAAUGAGUAUGAAUGUAUACUGGCAUUCAAAUAUUGUUCCUGGGUGCUGCAUGAUAACCUUGGUUGUCUUCAUUUCACAAGACUCGUGUGCAAUUCAAAUGCUCUGAUGCCCUAGUGGACAUUUAGCUAUCUGAAUUUUGCUUAGGAAAGCAGUUCCCACUGCUACACAUCAAGGCUGUGGUCUCCACUCCCUUCCCCUCUUCAACUUCCCUCUGUUUUCCCUCUACUCUUAUCCUGUCUUCUCUUCUUCCCUUUCCCUGUCCAAGUCCUGGAUGGCAGAUGAGCUUUCCUCUCUCCUUCUCUGCUUCAUUAAGUAUGCUGGUGGCUCCGUGGGGCCGGGAUGAAGUCACAUGGCUAGGAUGCCAUCUCUAAUCCCAUUUUCCAUUUGUAUAUUGGAUUUUGUUAACCACUUUUUAAAUAAAAAUACAGCAUGAUUCUAAUGUACUCAGGAGUUCCAGGGAUAACCAUAUAAUUUCAAAAUGAUACUGAUUUUGUUUAUAUGCAGCAUAAUCUUUUACAGUCCCGCGUCUUUAUUUGAAGCAUUGCAAAGUGGAUUUUUAUGAAAGUAUUAUAAAGGACUCCUUGUUUCUCCAUAACAGAUCUGAACGUUAACUGAUCAGAGUUCAGAUAAAUAGUCUUUACUCUCCAUUAAAAUAUUAAAAAGCCUUUGGUAAGAAACUGGCAUAAAGAUCCUUCAUUCUUGUUUAAUGAACACUUGUUGGCAAGUAUAACACUUUAAUAGCUUCAUAGAAUGAAUUUUGUGUGUGCACCCUCCAUUUCCCUGUCAGACACUUGUCCAGGUGCUGAGAAUUUAUUGGAGGAAGCAUAUUUUUGCUCAUUAGUUUUGUAUUUGAUUACAGAAUAGUAAAAUAUGCACCACUGGGUCCCCGAGGCAAAGCUGUGUACACCGAGAUUAGUAAUUGCAUGUCAUCGUGUUCCAUUGGAAUUUAUACGGUCAGAUGGGAUAGGUGCUUCUUAAAGAGGUUUAAAAGCAAAACAAAUUUGUACUUAAUCUUUUUUUUUUCUGCAGCUAUAGUCUUUCUAAUGGAGAAAAGCUCAGGUUGUGCCGUAUAUUUUAAACAGUUUUAAUUUUUACCUUUUCCAGUUUUCUUCACAAAUGAAGCCUAUCAGAUUUUCACGCUAACAACUACUAAGAAAUCAAUGCCUGUAAGGAAGAUAUGAUAUAAAACCUGUCAGCAGAGACCAGUUUUGCCCACAUUCCAGCACGCACAAUGACGGGGGAUGACGAUAGGUGUAGACAAGUCCUGCCAUUCCAGCAAGAAGCUUAAAGGCAAACUAGAAAUUGCACAGGGAUCUUCAAGAGACACCCACCCCACACAAUCCAAUGCGUGGUUUUCAUAGCACACAGACUGUUUUGUCCCCUUGAACAAGUUACAGGCUUGCAAGCUGAGCUUGUGUUUUUUUAAAGUUAGGCCUGCCAUAAGAAAUUAUCAUUUUGUUGUUUUUGCUGUAUAACAAUAAAAAGGGAACCGCAUUAAAUC